AACUUUCAACAACGGAUCUCUUGGCUCUCGCAUCGAUGAAGAACGCAGCGAAAUGCGAUAAGUAAUGUGAAUUGCAGAAUUCAGUGAAUCAUCGAAUCUUUGAACGCACCUUGCGCCCCUUGGUAUUCCGAGGGGCAUGCCUGUUUGA
rnacentral:rRNA from 5 species